AAACAUUUCCUAUUUUCUUUAAUAUUAGGUAAGCCCUGCCCAGUGAAUAUUCAACGGCCGCGGUAUCCCUGACCGUGCGAAGGUAGCAUAAUCAUUUGCCUCUUAAUUAGUGGCUAGUAUGAAUGGGUAAACACCAGUUAUAGCUUUUUUUAAAAUGUAAACAAAAUUAGAAUUCCAGUGAAAAUACUGGAAAAAACAGAAAGACAAAAAGACCCUAUCGAGCUAUAUUUUUUAACUUAUAUAAUUUGUUGGGGCAACAAAGGAUCAACCCAAACAUCCUUAACUAACUUCCUUUUAUUGACGAAAAAGAAAAAACAAGAAAAGCUACCGUAGGGAUAACAGACUUAUUUUUUCUGAGAGCUCAAAUUGACGAAAAAGAUUAGCACCUCGAUGUUGGCUCAGGAUUACUUAUACGUGCAGCAGCGUAUAAAGUGGGUUUGUUCACCCUUUAAUUUCCUACGU
rnacentral:rRNA from 1 species